rnacentral:rRNA from 1 species
CCGGUGAUCUAGCCAUGGGCAGGUUGAAGGUUGGGUAACACUAACUGGAGGACCGAACCGACUAAUGUUGAAAAAUUAGCGGAUGACUUGUGGCUGGGGGUGAAAGGCCAAUCAAACCGGGAGAUAGCUGGUUCUCCCCGAAAGCUAUUUAGGUAGCGCCUCGUGAACUCAUCUUCGGGGGUAGAGCACUGUUUCGGCUAGGGGGCCAUCCCGGCUUACCAAACCGAUGCAAACUCCGAAUACCGAAGAAUGUUAUCACGGGAGACACACGGCGGGUGCUAACGUCCGUCGUGAAGAGGGAAACAACCCAGACCGCCAGCUAAGGUCCCAAAGUCAUGGUUAAGUGGGAAACGAUGUGGGAAGGCAUAGACAGCCAGGAUGUUGGCUUAGAAGCAGCCAUCAUUUAAAGAAAGCGUAAUAGCUCACUGGUCGAGUCGGCCUGCGCGGAAGAUGUAACGGGGCUAAACCAUGCACCGAAGCUGCGGCAGCGACGCUUAGCGUUGUUGGGUAGGGGGAGCGUUCUGUAAGCCGUUGAAGGUGGCCUGUGAGGGUUGCUGGAGGUAUCAGAAGUGCGAAUGCUGACAUAAGUAACGAUAAAGCGGGUGAA